GAAGAGUAUAAUAUGAUAUCAAUGCUUUAUGUUUAGGUCUUCUUUAUUUUCUGUCUUCUGCUACUGAUUGGUGUCCAUGGAAACAAACCUGUAAUCAAUGCUAGACUCCUAGAGUGCAGUGGCCUAAGACUCCACUUUGAGAGCACAAUGAGGAAAAAGCCAUCAAGGGAAAAGCUGCUUCCCUGUUGGUACCAGCACUGUGGAAAGGCUUAGGUGCAAGGAAUUGUGGCCUCCCGCCAAUGGCCAGUGAGGAACUGAGAUCUCCAGCCAAUAGCCUUGUGACUAAGCCAUCUUACAGGAGAAUCAUUCAGGCCCAUGCAACCUUUAGGUGACUGCAGCCCCACCCACUGUCCUAACUGCUACCUCAUGAGAAACCCUGAGCUAGAACCAGCCAACUAAAUUAGAAUUUCUAAUUUGUAGGAAUAAUGAGAAAAUAAAUGUUUGCUCUUUUUAAGCCACUACAUUUUUUUUGAUGUAGCAAUACAUAAGUAAUACAACCACCUCCUCCCAUUUUCAUUUCAGCUCAAUCCAACUAGAUAUUUUCAAUUUUCAUGUCAAUAAAAUUAUAUAUAUAUAAAUUACAUAUAUACAUAUAUAUACACACACAAACACAAAUAUAUAUAAAUUGUUUAAUACCUGUUAAGCACAUAGAACAGUAUCUGGCCCUGAGAGGUGCUACGUUAUUAAAAUUACUAUUACUACUAUUAUUACAAGCAGCAGGAGGAAUAUAUGAGCCACUGAGGACUGCCAUCUUGUAAAACCCAGUAGUUAAUUGUCUGUUCUUGUUUUCUUUACCUCUCACAGUACCAGAUAUAAGUAGCUAUUCCCUUCUUAUUGAAAGACAUUUUUCCUUUAGGCUUCUAGAUAUCAUCCUCCCUUAUAGUCUUUUUCAUGGAUUAUUCUGCUCUGCAAGACCUCUAAAUAUUGAAAUGUCC
rnacentral:lncRNA from 10 species